ACCGGAUGCGGAUCUCGAAAGCCUGUCCCAGUUCGGACUGGAGUCUGCAACCCGACUCCACGAAGUUGGAUUCGCUAGUAAUCGCGCAUCAGCCAUGGUGCGGUGAAUACGUUCCCGGGCCUUGUACACACCGCCCGUCAAGCCAUGGGAGCCGGGGGCGCCUGAAGUCCGGGACCGCGAGGACCGGCCUAGGGCGAAACUGGUAACUGGGGCUAAGUCGUAACAAGGUACC
rnacentral:rRNA from 1 species